rnacentral:rRNA from 1 species
GAGUGGCGAACGGGUGAGUAACACGUGGGUAAUCUGCCCUGCACUCUGGGAUAAGCCUUGGAAACGGGGUCUAAUACCGGAUAUCACAACUUCAGGCAUCUGGGGUUGUUGAAAGUUCUGGCGGUGCAGGAUGAACCCGCGGCCUAUCAGCUUGUUGGUGGGGUAAUGGCCUACCAAGGCGACGACGGGUAGCCGGCCUGAGAGGGUGACCGGCCACACUGGGACUGAGACACGGCCCAGACUCCUACGGGAGGCAGCAGUGGGGAAUAUUGCACAAUGGGCGAAAGCCUGAUGCAGCGACGCCGCGUGAGGGAUGACGGCCUUCGGGUUGUAAACCUCUUUCGCCAGGGACGAAGCGCAAGUGACGGUACCUGGAUAAGAAGCACCGGCUAACUACGUGCCAGCAGCCGCGGUAAUACGUAGGGUGCGAGCGUUGUCCGGAAUUAUUGGGCGUAAAGAGCUCGUAGGCGGUUUG